rnacentral:piRNA from 1 species
UGAGAGCUAUGUUGAGGCCGUAGAGCCC